rnacentral:tRNA from 1 species
GCUUUUGUGGUGUAGUGGUCAGCACGCUGGGCGCGUAUUCCAGAGGUCCGUGGUUCGAAUCCCGGCGAAGGCG